GACGAACGCUGGCGGCGUGCUUAACACAUGCAAGUCGAGCGGAGCGGCGAACGGGUGAGUAACGCGUGAGUAACUGCCCCCCUCUCUGGGAUAACAGUUGGAAACGGUUGCUAAUACCGGAUAGUGGGGGAUGACUCGCGUCCUAGCAGGUUGUUGGGGGGGUGAUGGCCUACCAAGGCGGUGACGGGUUGCCGGCCUGGGAGGGUGGUCGGCGACGAGAGGCGGGGAGACGGCCCAGACUCCUGCGGGAGGGAGCAGUGGGGGAUAUGGCACAAUUGGCGCAAGCCUGAUGCAGCGACGCGGGGGGGGGAUGAAGGCUUUCGUGGUGUAGACCUCUUGAGGUACAGAACGGGUAUGUGCAGAAGAAGGGCCGGCUAACUACGUGCCAGCAGCCGCGGUAAUAC
rnacentral:rRNA from 1 species